rnacentral:rRNA from 1 species
UGCAGUCGAACGGCAGCGGACCUUCGGGUGCCGGCGAGUGGCGAACGGGCUCUUAAGUAUCGGAACGUACCUUUCAGUGGGGGAUAACGUAGCAAAGUUACGCUAAUACCGCAUAUUCUGUGAGCAGGAAAGCAGGGGAUCGCAAGACCUUGCGCUGAUUGAGCGGCCGAUAUCAGAUUAGCUAGUUGGUGAGGUAAAGGCUCACCAAGGCGACGAUCUGUAGCGGGUCUGAGAGGAUGAUCCGCCACACUGGAACUGAGACACGGUCCAGACUCCUACGGGAGGCAGCAGUGGGGAAUUUUGGACAAUGGGGGCAACCCUGAUCCAGCCAUGCCGCGUGAGUGAAGAAGGCCUUCGGGUUGUAAAGCUCUUUCGGCCGGGAAGAAAUCGCGCCAGUUAAUACCUGGUGUGGAUGACGGUACCGGAAUAAGAAGCACCGGCUAACUACGUGCCAGCAGCCGCGGUAAUACGUAGGGUGCGAGCGUUAAUCGGAAUUACUGGGCGUAAAGCGUGCGCAGGCGGUUUUGUAAGACAGGCGUGAAAUCCCCGGGCUCAACCUGGGAACUGCGCUUGUGACUGCAUCACUAGAGUACGGCAGAGGGGGGUGGAAUUCCACGUGUAGCAGUGAAAUGCGUAGAGAUGUGGAGGAACACCGAUGGCGAAGGCAGCCCUCUGGGCCGAUACUGACGCUCAUGCACGAAAGCGUGGGUAGCAAACAGGAUUAGAUACCCUGGUAGUCCACGCCCUAAACGAUGUCAACUAGGUGUUGGGUGGGUAAAACCAUUUAGUACCGUAGCUAACGCGUGAAGUUGACCGCCUGGGGAGUACGGCCGCAAGGUUAAAACUCAAAGGAAUUGACGG